AACGAACGCUGGCGGCAUGCCUAACACAUGCAAGUCGAACGAGACCUUCGGGUCUAGUGGCGCACGGGUGCGUAACGCGUGGGAACCUGCCCUUAGGUUCGGAAUAACUCCCCGAAAGGGGUGCUAAUACCGGAUAAUGUCUUCGGACCAAAGAUUUAUCGCCUUUGGAUGGGCCCGCGUUGGAUUAGCUAGUUGGUAGGGUAAAAGCCUACCAAGGCGACGAUCCAUAGCUGGUCUGAGAGGAUGAUCAGCCACACUGGGACUGAGACACGGCCCAGAAUCCUACGGGAGGAAGAAGUGGGGAAUAUUGGACAAUGGGCGAAAGCCUGAUCCAGCAAUGCCGCGUGAGUGAUGAAGGCCUUAGGGUUGUAAAGCUCUUUUACCCGGGAUGAUAAUGACAGUACCGGGAGAAUAAGCUCCGGCUAACUCCGUG
rnacentral:rRNA from 1 species